AACGCACAUUGCGCCCGCCAGCACUCUGGCGGGCAUGCCUGUCCGAGCGUCGUUUCAGCCCUCGAGCCCCCCCGGGGGCCCGGUGUUGGGGGCCGGCCCAGGCCGCCCCCGAAACGCAGUGGCGACCGCCGCCGCCGCCUCCCCUGCGCAGUAGCACACGCCUCGCACGGGGGCGCGUAGGCGGUCACGCCGUGAAACGCCCGAACCUCCUCGGAAGAUGACCUCGGAUCAGGCAGGGCUACCCGCUGAACUUAA
rnacentral:misc_RNA from 1 species